rnacentral:lncRNA from 1 species
GGAGGAUGGAGCUGCCUUCUUUCAACCAGACUUUCUCCAGAGUAGCAGAAUUAGACAGGCUCGAGCAGUGAGCCCAGGUGAACCUCGUGAGAUUCAACAAACCUAAGUGCAAGGUGCAGCCUGAAGAAGAGAAAGCUCUGGGGAGACCCGAGAGUGGCCUUUCAAUACCUAAAGGAAGGCUAUAAGAAAAAAGAGGACAGACUUUUUAGGAGUGUCUGUUGUGAUGGGACAAGGAGAAAUGGUUUCAAACUAAAAGGGGAGAUUUUGACUGGAUAUUAAGAAAAGUUGUUUACUAUCAGGGUGGUGAGGCAGUGACACGGAGUGCCCAGAAAAGUGGUGGUCCCCCAUCCUUGGAAGCUCUCGAGGUCAGGCUGGAUGGGGCUCUGAGCACCUGAUGGAGCUGUGGAUGUCCCUGCUCAGUGCAGGGGAGUUGGACUGCAUGACCUUUUAGGGGCCCUUCCAACUCAACCGAUUCUACGGUUCCAUGAACUUCAGUUCGAAGAGCUGCAGAGAAAAGGGUUAAGGCAUCCGCUGGCCAAACAGUUGAGGCAGCAGCCCAGGAGGGGCUGUCUAUACCCCACACCCUGCCCAGACCUGGCUUCAUGGCCCCCAUCCACCACCCCAAGAUUACCACCAGCUCUGGGCACUGCUUAUGGUGCUGUUGGCUGCUCUCAGUGCUUUUGGGACUCUUCCAACCAGUCCCUCUGUCCCGUUCUUGGAGCGUUUGCCUGUAGCACAGCAGUGAAGUGGUGGAGUUUCAGCACAUGGGAUUGCAGCAACAUUUCAGUGCCUGAUCAGAAAAGGACGUGGGAAGCUCUGCAACCAAGAGUUGGCUCCCCAGGGUCACACACGGGAGUGUUGAGAACUUGUAGCCUUUGUUAAUGCCUUGCUUGGAAACAUUUGGGCUCACACUGAGCACAGAGCCAGCACAGGAGCGUGUUGGAGUCUCAUCGUGCCCCAGCCCACAGCUCAGGGUGUGCUGCCCUCUCCUCUGGGUGCUGGGGGUGGGGGACCAGAUGUCACUGUGAAACUGGAGUGUUUGCCACAUUUCAGCUGAGUGAGUUGGAGAACAAUAACAAUUUUUUUUGAAGAACAUUUCCAUUUCACUUUGGAUCUGAGAGAUACUUAGGAAAUGUUUUGCCUGCUGGAGCCCUGCAGGGCACAAGAUGGCAUCUGUGUGACCUCCGUCCUUCCCCGAGGCCAGAGGGAGGCAGUGGCAGUGCUGCUCUCUGUGUUGAACGUGGACACGUGCCCUGAAACUUUAACAGUGGAAGAAAACAGCAGCACUGAAUACACUGAAAAAUGAAAUUCAAUGGGAGAAGCAUGUAAUAAGGAGACAGUAAUACUGGAGCCAGGCAGUGUAAUGCUGCAUGGCCACCACUGAGAGCAAUUAAACUCCUCCUGGGGGCAUCCCAUGCUGUGCCCCAGCCAUGCAGGCUCUUCCUAGAAGGGCUCCAGGCUGUGUCCCCC